GAACAUCUAGGACCUGGUAAACUUCUGGAGAGCGAGGUCAGAAAUGCAUACUGUGUACCUCCACAUGACUGUGAGUGUGUGCACUCAAUAGGGUGACCAGAUGAGAUUGGCUGAAAUUCGGGACGCUUUUGUUUUUCGCCGGGGUGGGCCCUUUGGACUAUGAAGUCAUGGUGGG